rnacentral:rRNA from 1 species
CCUACGGGGGGCUGCAGUGAGGAAUAUUGGUCAAUGGGCGGGAGCCUGAACCAGCCAAGUCGCGUGAGGGAAGACGGUCCUAUGGAUUGUAAACCCCUUUAGGCGGGGAGCAAUGCCGGGCACGCGUGCCCGGAGGGAGAGUACCCGCAGAAUAAGCAUCGGCUAACUCCGUGCCAGCAGCCGCGGUAAUACGGGGGAUGCGAGCGUUAUCCGGAUUUAUUGGGGUUAAAGGGUGCGUAGGCGGAUUUUAAAGUCAGCGGGAAAAUGUCAGGGCUCAACCCGGGGCGGCCGUUGAAACUGGGGAUCUGGAGUGGACGAGAGGUAUGCGGAAUGCGUGGUGUAGCGGUGAAAUGCAUAGAUAUCACGCAGAACUCCGAUUGCGAAGGCAGCAUACCGGCGCCCGACUGACGCUGAGGCACGAAAGCGUGGGGAUCGAACAGGAUUAGAUACCCGGGUAGUC